UCCGCUUCUCCAAGGAACAAACCAGCUGUGCAGCUUUCCAUGCUCUUUUUGCCCUGGCAGAGUUCAUCUUGGAAUCCAGGGCAAAGGACAGGGCAGGCCAAGCGCAGCGGGAAGCUGUGACCACCUCCGCACUGUGUUCUCUGAGCGCCAGGGACUGUGCCAAGGCCUUUGGACCAUACCUGCGGUCCCAGGAGAGAAGAGACAUC